GAUGAACGCUGGCGGCGUGCCUAAUACAUGCCAGUCGAGCGAACGGACGAGAAGCUUGCUUCUCUGAUGUUAGCGGCGGACGGGUGAGUAACACGUGGAUAACCUACCUAUAAGACUGGGAUAACUUCGGGAAACCGGAGCUAAUACCGGAUGAUAUUUUGAACCGCAUGGUUCAAAAGUGAAAGACGGUCUUGCUGUCACUUAUAGAUGGAUCCGCGCUGCAUUAGCUAGUUGGUAAGGUAACGGCUUACCAAGGCAACGAUGCAUAGCCGACCUGAGAGGGUGACAGGCAACAGUGGAACUGAGCCCGGGUCAAGACGCCUACGGGGGGAGCAAUAAGGAAUUUUCCCGAAAGGGGGAAAGCCCUGCGGGACAACCGCCGCGGGAUUGAGGAGGUUCUUCGGAUCGUAAACCUUUUUUAUUGGGGAAAACCAUUUGGUAAAGUAACUGUGCACAUCUUGACGGUACCUAACAAAAAAGCCACGGCUAACUCCGUG
rnacentral:rRNA from 1 species